rnacentral:lncRNA from 1 species
GUUUGUUUGAUUCAUCUGAAAAUUUCAGGGCUGAUAGAUCUUGACCUAAUGAAAAUUUUUACCCCAUGUCAGAUUUGCUCUUAAUGCUUUCGUUUUUGAGAUAUAAGCCAAAAACUGCAUUUGACCCCUAUGUUCUAUUUUAAGUAACGGCGGCCAUGUUUUUUGACGGAUCAAAAAUCGAAGCGCACAUUUUGUGCAGGAUAUACUAAGGAACAAUCAUGUUAAGUUUCAUUCAAAUCCAUUCAGUAGUUUCAGAGGAGAAGAUGUUUGAAAAAUUGUUAACGACGACGACGACGACGACGACGGACGCCAAGUGAUGAGAAAAGCUCACAUGGCCUUUUAGGCCAGGUGAGCUAAAAAACCUU